ensembl:lncRNA
AGGGCACCAAGAGUGCAGAUCAGGGAGAGAGAUCAAUGUUUUUCAGACUCUUAACAAAAUGUCUUCACAACUAGAAGGACCUGCAACUGAGAUAUACAACUGUGUACGGGGGGGGGGGGGGGGGAGGGGGUUGGGGACACAAAGCAGGAAAAGAAAUGUCUUAUUUAUAUACAUAUACCUGCUAAUGCACAAACACACACAAAUAUAUUUAACUGGAACAAACGUUUCAAGAAACUAUAGUUACACUCAUUGUGAUGCAGGCCAGUAUUUUCUAUUCGAUUCCAUUCCACUAAAAUACAUAAAUUAGAUAUAUUUUAUAUAUUAAUACAUAUAACAGUUAUUUUAUAGAUAUUAUUUAUUCCAUUCCGCUAAAGCAUAUAUAUGUGUGCAUACACACACACAUAUAUAUGCAUGCAUCCUUUUCGGGUCGUGAAUGAGGUUUGGAAGCGGACUCAGGAGCGCGACCAGCGCUAGGGAUUCCCACGAUCCGACACGUCCACAGCCAUGGUACCAGCGGUCUCAGGUUAUUCUGUUUAGGGACAAAUGACGUCCCUCUUUUCCACCUGCCAAUGAGGAAGAUCUCAGAGUGAGUCAAGACUCGCAUUUACCAAGUCAGCUGGAGUAGACUUAGAUUCUAAGCUCCAGUUUCAUGCUGUGGCAUCUGGGGAACCCGAUAACACUACCGGAAAUCCCCCUCUUUCUCCUUCCACGGGCCAGCGCAGAGGGGAGCAGGUGGGUGGAAAACUGAGGCGAGAAGCCAUCGGAAUUAAACCGAGAGAAGAGAAACUACCGUGGGGGGGGUGGGUAAGCUCCUGCUGUUAACACUGCCCCUCCCCCAAGAACUCCCGCCCGCCCGCCUCCAACUCCGCCCCCCUCUUUCUCCCCCCGUCGGUCGCUCCUCCACCCCGACAUCUCCUUUCUCCCUGCAGAGGAACAGUUCGCCGCGUAGCAGCCGCUGGGGCGCUGGGAGCGGCGGGAAGGGUGGAAGAAGGCAGGCGCAGAGGCCCGGAGAGGCGGGAGCCAGGUCGCGGCCCCGCAGCCGCUCCGGUCUCAGUCCGGGUAUUCUCGGUGGCAGAGCCCGGGCCUGGCCGCCGGCGCCGCGGGUGGGAGGACGGCGCCUGGAGCGGAGCCCGGAGGCGCGAAGAGGAGGAGCGGGUCUCAGUCCUGGGAGCGGGAACAGCGCAGGCAAGCCGGGGAACCUCGGGGGCGGUGACCGAGGGCUGGACAGCUCGGGUCACCGCGGGACCCCACUAGGGGACUACGGGGAACCGGCCUCACCCGCGGAGCGCUGAGAAUAACCCAGCGGGCAUUCAAACUGGCGAGUCCGGCUGCGUUCCUGCGGCCCGCGCCCAGCCGAGCCCUGAUUGGCGUUCACGCAGCCAAUCAUAGCCUCAGGGCCUGAGGUGGGUGGGGCCGGAGCGGGCCGGGCGCGCCCGCGGAGGCGGACCCCGAGGACCCUGUCUUCUGGGUGCGCCAGAAACGGAGGGGGGCCGGUUGGCGCGUCCCGCUUCUCCGCGCCUCGUUGGAAGGCCACACCCGGGCCUGGAGACCUGGACAGAAGCGGACACUGCGACUCAAAACCCCAGGCUCAAUGGGAGAUGCCUACCGUGCAAAGUCCCGGAGCGCUGGCCUGGAGGAAGAGGGCGUCCCGCGCCUGUGCAAAUACCUGGAGAACGCGCGGGAGACGAUGCUGCUGCAGGCUUUCCCAGAUUUUUCACCAGUGAUUCAAUGGGAGGAAACCAGGUCCCAGACUUGAUUAAAAACAAACAAAAAAACCCUAGGUAUCGAAAGAGGGUAACAACCUCGUCUUCAAGUAAAUAAAGGGAGGGAUUCAAAUUAUAAGGCAAAGGAAAAAUUGGUUCUUUGCUGUGGGGAAGAGUUGCUGAAAAUUAAAGAACAAUCUCCUGAGCUGAAGGAAGCUUUGGGUUUGGUAAUUUGGGGUGUGGGGCAGGCCUUCCAGAAUGCCAAGGGCGUCAAGACUAGUGUGUCUCGCCCUUAGUGUUUCCUUCCUCCAUUUGAGAGAGCUUUCUGGCAUAGAACAAAAAAAAAGUUCACCCCUUCUUGUCUCUGCUGACACCUAGAUUCUUCUCAGCUGUAUGUCCCUGUUCCUAUUAGGGUAACACAGGAUGGGGGAAGAAUAGCUCAGUGAUCUUCCCUUCACAUCUCCCCUAAAAGCAUUGUGAAAUAUCAUGUGCCCCCUCCCACAGGCUUAGGUUGACCUGAAAUUCUCAGCAUGUGUUCAAAGAAUUGCAAAGAAUGUAAUUUACAACAUAUUAUAUGUAUAUAUAUAUUAACACGUUUAAAUAAAACUGUUAAUCACAUGUCCAAUGGAAUCUAAAUACCAUAACAUUUUGACACCCAUCGUUAAUUUUUUAAAUGCACAAUCUCUUUCUUAACAGUUGGAAAUUUUACACUGUUCCUUUUUUUUCCUUUGAAUUCAUAUUUUCAUUUUAUUCUCCCUAUAGAAUUUUUUUUUUUUUUUGAAUUCUCAAGCCUGGCUGCAUCCUCAUGUAAUAUAUUUUUGUUCUUGGACUUCUUUUCUUGAUCCAUCUUUUGCAACAAAAUAUGUUCUUAAAGUGAAUUUUUUAUUUCCUGUUCUAAGUGUUUAAAAAGUCAUCUGGAUUAAGAUAAUAUUACAAUUAUUAGAGAUACACAGUUGAUCAAACAAUAUAAAUAAUAUAGAUUUUGGUAAAUAAAAGAAUAAAUUUUUAAAAAGUAAAAUUUAUCUGGAAAUAUAUCUCUUACUGAGAUAGAUAGGGGCUUUAUAUUGCCAACUUUAUGAGGAUGAAAGCUACUUAUUGAUAUUAUGAGGCUGGGGUCUAUGUGAUUUCUAUUCCUUUAAAAAAUUUUUAACAUGAAAGAACUAAAAGAAUCUUGUUCACAUAACUAAGUAUGGAAACAGGAUAAAUAUGGGAAUGAAAAGAAUUUUAUUGUAACAACUUCAUCCAAUUUCUAAAAUUUCUUCUUAGUUAUAUGUCAAAAAUUAUAUAGUGAGCUGUUAUUAAAUACUAUUUUUAAUAACCUCACAACUCAAGUAUAGAGUUCUUCAAUAUUGUUGAAACAAAGAAUUAGAAACUACCUGAUUUGCAAAAAUAUUUGUACACAUACGUUAUGUUCUGUCACUUUCUCAGGUCUUAGAAGUAGACCAAAGAGGCUUUACAGAUUCUUACCAAACUAAUAAUUAUACUUGUUAGUCUUUCACUUAGAGGCAUCUUGUUUCUGAAACUCAAAUUAGAUGAAACUGAGGUUAGAAAGAAACAAACAAACCCACAAAAUUGGAAAUUAAAAAUCAAUAGGUUCCAAAUAAAGACUUUUCCCCAUUUUUUAUGUCAUCUGGAAGUGCCUUUAAAAAGUAUGACAAAGAGAUGGACACUUUAAACUAAUGUGUGUGUGUGCUUGUAAUUUCAUUUCAUUGUAGGAAAUGAUUAAUUUUAUAAUCAUGAUUUGACAGAUAUAGAACAGUGUGUCAACAUCCAAGAGGGAGAAAUUAAUCCAAAAUAAAUUAACCUGGAUUUCUAAAGUUCAGGGCAUUACCUCCAAGACUGCAUUUGGGAACAUUUUGUUUUGUAUCCAUACAUAAGUGGAUUUCUGCUUUUAAGAAUACAAUUUAAUCUACUUAGUGGAAAUCAACAGCAAAGUGGAGAGAAAGUAUUAAAUCAUCAAUAAAUGUAAGUUUGCAGAAAUUCUAUUACUGAUUGCUAUGUGCAUUAUUUAGAGCAGAAUCCACAAAAUAUUUCCAUCAGAUUAACCUGAAUCUGGUAAGUAUAUGAUAAAAAUAAAUAAAUGAGCAGAGAAGUAACAGUGUAUCAUGGACCUGUGCCCAAGUAGAAAAAUGUAUUUCUAUGGUCUGGUAAUAUUUGGUAAAAAUUAAUGAAAAUAUUUCUUCUAUGAGUCUGAAUAAGUUCAAGAAAACAUACAUUAAAGUACCCCCAAUAUGUAUUUAUUUUACUCCAAAAUGUGGUAUAGAUUUGUCAGAAAUAAAUAUCAAGACUUCUGUCUUCACUGCCUUGAAACCAUGCAGAAUAAGCAAGUGAGGUAGAGAUAAGACACGAGUGAGUGGGACGUUUUUAGUACUUAGAGUGCUUUGUAGCAAGUUAGUAUUUCUUUACAUGAUUUUUAUAAAUUUAGAAUACUCUAAUCCUAAGACAGAUAAGGAUUGGAACCUCACCAUGAGUUUGUCACCUAAAUGAAAUUAAAAAAAUACCACUGUCAGUAUUUUUUGCCAAUGCUAAGGAGCUGCUCAUUCUUUACAAUUAUCAGGAAAGAAAGCAUCAAGGUCAUGAGAUGAAAAAAUGUCAGCGUUCCAGCUUCUCUGCCAAGGAAUUAUCUGAAUCCAGAAUAUUGUAACAUAGGCCAAAACUCCGUAGUUUCUUAUGCUACAUGUCACCCUUAGCAUACGGUUACUCAACCUCGAGCAUUAUUGACAUUUGGGGUGGACUCAUUCCUCGUUGUAGGGGCUGUCAUGUGCACGGUAGGAUGUUUAGCAGCAGACCCCACCUCUGCCCACUCGAUGCCAGGAGCACCAAUCCCCGACCCCACCCUCUCAGUUGUGACAACUAAAAAUGUCUCCAGAUAUUGCCACAUGUCUCCGGGGUGGGGGGCUGCGGGGCGGGGAGAUGAUUGGGGAUCAUUGCUCUUAACAGAAAUAAACACAUGAUGAAAAACAACGCAAAGCUGUGAUUAAAGGAGGCUUUGUGGACACUGGUUUUGAAUUUUUCUUUUCUUUGGUACUCAGAAUAUUUUAUUCCCAAGUCAAAGCACCAUAAUUAUAUUUGGGAUAGGUAAGUGGUAUGCCUUUCUUUUGUAAAGUGGGAGAAAAAUGAUUAUUAAAGGAGAGAUGGG